rnacentral:rRNA from 1 species
AAGGCGCGCGAUACAGGGUGACAGCCCCGUACACAAAAGCGUAUGUGCUGUGAGCUCGAUGAGUAGGGCGGGACACGUGGUAUCCUGUCUGAAUAUGGGGGGACCAUCCUCCAAGGCUAAAUACUCCUGACUGACCGAUAGUGAACCAGUACCGUGAGGGAAAGGCGAAAAGAACCCCGGCGAGGGGAGUGAAAAAGAACCUGAAACCGUGUACGUACAAGCAGUGGGAGCCCCACCACUAAGCCAGUGGUGAACUCCACAUACGCAUCCUUUGCUGAGGAUACGGUUAACGGAGCGAAAGCGACGUUCAACCGCAAAAGAAGCAGAGGGGGCUUAGUGGUGGGGUGACUGCGUACCUUUUGUAUAAUGGGUCAGCGACUUAUAUUCUGUAGCAAGGUUAACCGAAUAGGGGAGCCGGAGGGAAACCGAGUCUUAACCGGGCGUUAAGUUGCAGGGUAUAGACCCGAAACCCGGUGAUCUAGCCAUGGGCAGGUUGAAGGUUGGGUAACACUAACUGGAGGACCGAACCGACUAAUGUUGAAAAAUUAGCGGAUGACCUGUGGCUGGGGGUGAAAGGCCAAUCAAACCGGGAGAUAGCUGGUUCUCCCCGAAAGCUAUUUAGGUAGCGCCUCGUGAAUUCAUCUCCGGGGGUAGAGCACUGUUUCGGCUAGGGGGCCAUCCCGGCUUACCAACCCGAUGCAAACUGCGAAUACCGGAGAAUGUUAUCACGGGAGACACACGGCGGGUGCUAACGUCCGUCGUGAAGAGGGAAACAACCCAGACCGCCAGCUAAGGUCCCAAAGUCAUGGUUAAGUGGGAAACGAUGUGGGAAGGCCCAGACAGCCAGGAUGUUGGCUUAGAAGCAGCCAUCAUUUAAAGAAAGCGUAAUAGCUCACUGGUCGAGUCGGCCUGCGCGGAAGAUGUAACGGGGCUAAACCAUGCACCGAAGCUGCGGCAGCGAACGUAUCACUUAAAGCGAUUCAGCGGGUUACGAUUGA